rnacentral:tRNA from 1 species
AGGGAGACCUACCUUGGGGCAUCUGAGGGGAGUUAGACCACCCUCAGGCCAGCAAAGGUUAUCCCAGGUCGGUCGGGGUUGAAGGGAUGGUUGACUGGGGUUCUGGAGGGGAACCGAGGGGAGGGCUAUUAGCUCAGGUGGUUAGAGCGCACCCCUGAUAAGGGUGAGGUCCCUGGUUCGAGUCCAGGAUGGCCCACUGUUUGUCCUGGAAAAGGGAGAGCUGGCAAGCUAGAAGCGAGCUGGCCAAGCUGAGGGCAAAGCCAGAGGGUGGGUGCAGUCUGGAUUGGGGGUAUAGCUCAGCUGGUAGAGCACUGCCUUUGCACGGCAGAAGUCAGCGGUUCGAGUCCGCUUACCUCCACCAC